GAUGAACGCUGGCGGCGUGCCUAAUACAUGCAAGUCGAGCGAACAGACGAGGAACUUGCUCCUCUGACAUUAGCGGCGAACGGGUGAGUAACACGUGGGUAACCUACCUAUAAGACUGGGAUAACUUCGGGAAACCGGAGCUAAUGCCGGAUAAUAUAUUUAACCGCAUGGUUCAAUAUUGAAAGACGGUUUUGCUGUCACUUAUAGAUGUAUCCGCGCCGCAUUAGCUAGUUGGUAAGGUAACGGCUUACCAAGGCAACGAUGCGUAGCCGACCUGAGAGGGUGACCGGCCACACUGGAACUGAGAAACGGUCCAGACUCCUACGGGAGGCAGCAGUAGGGAAUCUUCCGCAAUGGGCGAAAGCCUGACGGAGCAACGCCGCGUGAGUGAUGAAGGUCUUCGGAUCGUAAAACUCUGUUAUUAGGGAAGAACAAAUGUGUAAGUAACUAUGCACGUCUUGACGGUACCUAAUCAGAAAGCCACGGCUAACUACGUG
rnacentral:rRNA from 1 species